UACAGAGGGGUAAGCGUUGUUCGGAAUUACUGGGCGUAAAGGGCGCGUAGGCGGCCGCCUAAGUCAGACGUGAAAUCCCUCGGCUCAACCGGGGAACUGCGUCUGAUACUGGGUGGCUUGAAUCCGGGAGAGGGAUGCGGAAUUCCAGGUGUAGCGGUGAAAUGCGUAGAUAUCUGGAGGAACACCGGUGGCGAAGGCGGCAUCCUGGACCGGCAUUGACGCUGAGGCGCGAAAGCCAGGGGAGCAAACGGG
rnacentral:rRNA from 1 species